rnacentral:lncRNA from 1 species
UGGUCAAAGCAAAUGUGAAUACUAGAAAAGAGUUUCUAUGAAAAUUAUAGAUAAACUCGAGUCAAGCCAAUCUAGCAUAUGAUUAACGAUGGGAUUUGACGAGUUCUCUAUGACCUCCGUCAAGUCGGGACUCACAAUAGAAGGACUGAAUCUAUGAUAACUGCAUCUUAGGGUUCAUACUUUCAUUUUACUAGGUUGCCACUACAUACUGCUAGGUAUCAUUGAUGGAUUAUGAGACUUAUCGGACGUCAUCUUGAUGAUCGAUGAUCCUUGAAGGUUAGAAUUGAAAAUGAUCCAAUC